CAGUCGAACGGUAACAUAAAGAAGCUUGCUUCUUUGAUGACGAGUGGCGGACGGGUGAGUAAUGCUUGGGAAUCUAGCUUAUGGAGGGGGAUAACUACGGGAAACUGUAGCUAAUACCGCGUAGAAUCGAGAGAUGAAAGUGUGGGACCUUCGGGCCACAUGCCAUAGGAUGAGCCCAAGUGGGAUUAGGUAGUUGGUGAGGUAAAGGCUCACCAAGCCGACGAUCUCUAGCUGGUCUGAGAGGAUGGCCAGCCACACUGGGACUGAGACACGGCCCAGACUCCUACGGGAGGCAGCAGUGGGGAAUAUUGCGCAAUGGGGGCAACCCUGACGCAGCGACGCCGCGUGAUUUAGAAGGCCUUCGGGUUGUAAAAAUCUUUUGUAUGGGAAGAAAAUGACAGUACCAUACGAAUAAGGACCGGCUAAUUACGUGCCAGCAGCCGCGGUAAUACGUAAGGUCCGAGCGUUGUCCGGAAUCAUUGGGCGUAAAGGGUACGUAGGCGGAUAAGCAAGUUAGAAGUGAAAUCCUAUAGCUCAACUAUAGUAAGCUUUUAAAACUGCUCAUCUUGAGGUAUGGAAGGGAAAGUGGAAUUCCUAGUGUAGCGGUGAAAUGCGCAGAUAUUAGGAGGAAUACCGGUGGCGAAGGCGACUUUCUGGCCAUAAACUGACGCUGAGGUACGAAAGCGUGGGUAGCAAACAG
rnacentral:rRNA from 1 species